rnacentral:rRNA from 1 species
UACGGAGGGGACUAGCGUUGUUCGGAAUUACUGGGCGUAAAGCGCACGUAGGCGGAUUGUUUAGUCAGGGGUGAAAUCCCGAGGCUCAACCUCGGAACUGCCCUUGAUACUGGCAAUCUCGAGUCCGGAAGAGGUGAGUGGAAUUCCUAGUGUAGAGGUGAAAUUCGUAGAUAUUAGGAAGAACACCAGUGGCGAAGGCGGCUCACUGGUCCGGUACUGACGCUGAGGUGCGAAAGCGUGGGGAGCAAACAGG